rnacentral:rRNA from 1 species
UACGGAGGGUGCAAGCGGUAUCCGGAAUUAUUGGGCGUAAAGAGCUCGUAGGCGGUUUGUCGCGUCUGCUGGGAAAACCGGAGGCUCAACCUCCGGCCUGCAGUGGGUACGGGCAGACUAGAGUGCGGUAGGGGAGAUUGGAAUUCCUGGUGUAGCGGUGGAAUGCGCAGAUAUCAGGAGGAACACCGAUGGCGAAGGCAGAUCUCUGGGCCGUAACUGACGCUGAGGAGCGAAAGCAUGGGGAGCGAACAGG